AGUGGCGCACGGGUGCGUAACGCGUAUAGAACCUACCUUUUGCAGGGGGAUAGCCCGGAGAAAUUCGGAUUAAUACCCCGUAGUAUUAUCGAUUGGCAUCGAUUGAUAAUUAGAGAUUUAUCGGCAAAAGAUGGCUAUGCGUCCUAUUAGCUAGAUGGUGAGGUAACGGCUCACCAUGGCUACGAUAGGUAGGGGCCCUGAGAGGGGGAUCCCCCACACUGGUACUGAGACACGGACCAGACUCCUACGGGAGGCAGCAGUGAGGAAUAUUGGACAAUGGUCGAGAGACUGAUCCAGCCAUGCCGCGUGCAGGAAGACGGCCCUACGGGUUGUAAACUGCUUUUAUACGGGAAGAAUAAGGGGCACGUGUGCCCUGAUGACGGUACCGUAAGAAUAAGGACCGGCUAACUCCGUGCCAGCAGCCGCGGUAAUACGGAGGGUCCGAGCGU
rnacentral:rRNA from 1 species